AAAAGUUUGUAAUGAAAACGACAUCAUGUGUGUGUGUGAGUACAAUGUUUUAUUUUUUGAAUUUUGCAAACAAGAAAGCUGAACUGACAUGCUGUGGGCUGCACCCCAUUGUCAGACCAAAACUUUGUAAUAGAAGUGACCCUGUUUGUAUAUAAAUACUGUAAGUAUUGGAACUGAUACAAGGAGAGAAAUAGUAGAAAUAUUUCAAAAUUCAUACAGUAAUUUUAAAUUUUUACAGAAAUUGUUUAAUACUCACACAUUGUUUUUAGUUUCAUAUUGGUGCUCUGCCUCCUAGGUUGAGAACAUUUUUGCAUUAAUUUAGUAAGUUUAAGAAUCGUUACUAGUGCAAGUUACUUCUUCCCAUUAAUUUAGAAAAGUGAUUAGUCUUAAAUGUCUUCUGAUUACCUACAUACUGAUUUCUUUAUAUCAUUAUCCAUCUAUCUUUGUACAGUGUGCUGCAAAGUUCCCUUGAGGCUACAUUACUGUUGAUUCACAGUAGGAUUAGGGGUUCUUACAGCAGUUAAUAUAAAGGUGGAUGUCUUCUGGGUUGUAACACCAUGUAGUCUGGUUUCAGAGUUCCUUGUUGUGCUGAUGAUGGUGGCAGCAAGGAUCUAUGAAAGAGUAGUAAACUUCCACCAGACAACAUGUCAAUACUCCCCAGAAGAUUACCAUCUUCUUACUAUAUUCACAUGCUCACACCCUAUCCUUUUUAAUAUUAUAAUCCCAUUUAUGCCUGGGUCUCUCAAGUGAUCUCCUCUGUUUCUUUGUUUGUUGUUUUUUAUACACAUACAUACAUGCAUACUAGAAUCCGUAUGUACUUUUCUUUUUAUCCAUUUUUAUCUCUAGACCAACCUUACAAGACAUAUUUAGACAGCAAACAGUUUUAGAACAUAACCAAUUCCAGAGAAUGUAACCAUACAUUAUGUCCGGUGACUUUAUGUAAAAACUUAAAAGCUCUUAUUCCUGACGAUAUUCUCGGCCAGAAAUGUUUUUGGAACUUGGUUUUGGUUAUCAACAAUUACAGAUUUAUGGAUAGAAAUUCAGCAUGAUUUUAACAGAUGUAGAACAUUUUUACAGAUGUGCUCCCAGCAUGACAGGGUACUGCCACACUUCAGACUCGUGAUGUAGUACCUGGAAGAGCAGUUCCCUGACUGAUGGAUUGGCCAUGGUGACUAUAGAUUGACAGACAUGAUCACUGGACUUCAUUCCGCUGGAUUUUUAUGUUUAGGAUUACAUAAAAAACAUGUUGUAUUAAUUCAAAGUAAUUAUAUUUUAAAUCAUCCUGAAUUUCAAAUAUCCCUCUGUAGCCAUUGAUAAUUGGACCCAUGUUCAUAUGAUAUUUCUGACUGGGAAUGAUGUCAGAAAUAAGAUCCGGAAGUAUUUAUGCAUUUCACUGGACAUUCUUACGUAAUGACACUAUACAAUAUUUAGUUUUGGAUUAAUAUCAUCCUGUUCAUUUCUGAAUAGAAUAUGGAUGAGACUCAAAAAGUAUCUACUGAGUCAUAAAAUUAUACACUAAACUUCUGUUUUAUCCAGACAGAGACAAUUCUGAAAGAAAGUGUUUAAUUUUGUAGGACAUUUCAUGAGAAAACAUGAUCUCAUUAAAAUGGGAAAUUGGUUGCAGUAGACCAUCUCCUACAUUCCGUUGUAAGUAUAUUAUGAAAGGCUUACAUUUAGAAUGAUUUAAGGAUAUCCUCGCUUAACUGACAGGAUGUUUUGCAUCUGCACUGAAAUUACUACAAUGAAUUAUGUUUUCAAGUUGGUUUUUCCCAUAUAUGGUUACAGAAUGUGCAGAUUAUUUUGAAUGUCUAGUCUUUAGAACAUAUGCAAGCAUUAUAUAAAUGUUAAUAUACAGAUGCUCCUUGAGUUACACAAAUUGUUCCUCUGUACCCUUGCCACCAAUUGAUGUCGACCCUGAUGAUGUAAUGCCUGUCUAAUCCCUUCCUCAUCUGCAAAUAAAGUCCUUUGUCAUCCACUGCCAAAAUGCUACCUUCACUGAGCAAGAAUAGCACUGGGAUUAAAAUGUAAAUGAAAUUUCAUUGUUGUAAAUGUUAGUUGUUUCUUUUCUUUUUUUCAUUUCAUUUCAUGUUCUUUCUUCUUCAAAGUGCAAACAUACAUACAUAUAUUACAGUAACAGUUUUGACUUGGGCAAAAUUCUGGUUAUGCAAGACCUGGAACAGAAUCAUUGCAUGCCUGUGAGAAAUUCAGGACAGUAGAUGACCCAUUGGGAACCUAGAAAGGUAGGUGUGUGUUUGUUUCCUUUUGUUCUGUAAUUAUAUAUUGCAAACUAAUAUGCAUUCAAGCACUUUUGUUCUGUACUUUCCCUAUCACAUAUACAUGGGUUAAAUACUGUUUUCGUCUUCUUCAUUAAGAGUGUAAAUUGGUAUAUGCCAUUAAAUUUACUCUUGAAUUACAAAGUGAUUACAGUUGAAUAGCUGUCGCGAUGCUACAAAAUUGUUUUUGGCAUUGAAUUUACAGAAGGAAGAGUGAGUGACAGUAUUGAUUGGCCUAUACAUUGGAGGUGAAUGAUAUUUUGGAUUGAAGUAUAUUUAACAUAAAUAUAUUUGUUUAGUGACUGGAGAAGCAAGAGUUUGGCUGUUUACUCCUGUGCAGUGAUUGAAUCCCUUUUUAAACAAAUUUGGUAACUUUUUGAAUAGAAUGUACAAUAAUAAAUGUUGCUGUUUUUGUCAACUCUUUAGUAAGUACUGAGUUACUUAUAUUAAAGUUUUUGUGUCCACAGUAGUAAUUUAUUUGUAUAUGCUUUUAUUGACUCAUAUGCUAGUAGCAAGUAAUUACUGCCAUUUUGUAUUAACUCAAAACACUAAGUGGUAAAUGUUCCUGUUUUAUAACUUUUCAAUCAGUAAUUACUCGCUAAUUUUUGCUAUUGAUUCAUUUAGAAGCAUAAACAGGUAAUGUUUUAUUAUUGUCACAAAAACAAUUAUUUACUAUUUAUUAUUGUUUUAAAGACUAAAGGUAAGUAAGGAGCUACCCAGUAAUUUUAAUUCCAGACAGGUACAAAUUAUUUAUUUUUUCAUCUUCAGAGUAAAUAAUCACUAGUUUUUUAUAUUCUCGGUUAUUUAUUUUAAAGUUGCCAGUCACUGAAAGAUUAAACUCUUAUGUAACUUCUUAUAAUCAGAAUAAAUCAGUGAAUUGGUGUUGCUUAUGUUACACUGUAUGUGGCAAGCAGCAUGUUGUUAUUUUAUUAUGCCCAAAGUAGUCAUUUUACAAUUUGUUUACAUAUUUUUGUGACAAUUUAAUUUGCGUUGUUACUAAAUUUUUGUUAUAAUUUUGACAUGGAUUGCAUUCAAAUGAAAUUGUCCAGUCUGCCAUUGCUUCUAAAUAGUACAUGAAUCUUGUUUUACAUCCCAAAUAUUUUUAUAAUUCCCAUUUUUACUGAAAUUCAAGUCACACUUGUUGAGAUUUACUAGAAGCUACUUUUUUGAAGUUUCGUUAUGUAUUAUGAGUGUUCAGGUUAUUACAUGCAUUCACUUUUUAAAAGUGGUAAAUAUUAAUAUCUUUCUUAUGCAGUUUGCUUUUGGAUACUUUGUGCAUGUAGGAAGGUGUAUUAAAAUCUAAAUAGGGACAGAAGACUGUAAUUCCAUCCACAAAACUUGGUCAGUUUUCAUGUUUGAUUUGAUGGUAUCUUUGUGGCAAGAAUACAUAUUUUCCAUAAUUAUAAAAUGGAUAACUGUAUCAUAGAAAAUUGAGAGUAAUUACUCUUUUCAGGUGUCUUAAUGUGCCACCAUAUCAUGUAAAGUAGAUUUCAGUGCAAAUUAUCAUCAUGAAUAUGAUUCUGAUGGUGAAAAUUUGGAUUGUGGUCUUCUGGAUAAUAGCACUGUCUUUCUGUGGUUAACAUUUAAUAGCAAGCUUUUGUCUAGCCUCACUUAAACUGACUUCCAAUGAUAGAGGUGAUAAAAUUCCUAUGAAAUAUUGGUAACCUCGUACAGGACUACACAGUGACUACCCAGAAGACCACAGGACUGUAAUGAAUAAGUUCUUGGAGUUGAAAAUGUCUGCAGUCAUAGAUUAUCUUCAUCCUGUAGUAUGUGGCAUUUACAUAUGACUUCGGGAAAAUUGUUAUGCGUAACAGUUGAAUGUUAAUUUAACAUGGCAACCAACAAGAACUGUGGUUGGUGUAGGGAUUAUAGAAAUCUAUUUGUGACUGCAGACUGCAAGAGUGCAGUUGUCCAGCCCUAAUGGUUAUGUUGGUUGAACUUGGUUUUUUCAACCCCUUCUUUUGAAGUCCCAUUGCAUUGUAUCAUCAAAGUUAAUUGCUUGCCAUUCAUGCUUUUUCAUGUAAGAAACUGCAUUUUUUGAACAUGGGAAUAUUUCUUAUUUAUGAUAUGAACAUACAGCAUGCAUCUCAAAUUAUUAACAAAAUGUUACAAUGCAAUGGUGCUGCAUAGUAAAGCAAAAUCAGGCUGCAUUACCGGGCAAUCAAAUAAAUUCCAAUCCUGAGUUACAGCAUAAUAUGAAUGGAAGAAUGUUUCAAGUACAAACAAAAUAAUAUAGUAAUAAUUAUAAUAAUGAAUUACUUAAAUGAAAUGUGUCGUGAUGUAAUAGAUGCCAGAGAAGAAAACUGAUUAAACAAUAAUAAUUUAUUUGUAGAAGUGUCUUAAAACUGUUUCAAGGUGCACAAGGUGAAGGUCGUUUAAAAUAUGCAUUUACAGUGGAUCCUCUUCCUUUGUUAAUCAAGUCAAAUAUGAUGCUAAGAACCAUCCUGUUGAUACCCUAAAAGUUUGUUUUUGUUGCUAGAGAUAAAUUUAUAUUGAUGCUAUUAUCAGAUAGGUGUCAAAAGAAUCAAGAUUACAUACUAGAACAGUUCUUCACGGCUUACAAAUUGGAUCCAAACAUUGUACAUUAAGUGACCAUGCCUUUGGUAAGCUUGAUGUAUCUGAAAUGGUGCUACUUGCUAGCCAUUUCCUGUGUUGUGUUUGUUCCUGGAACAUAGAUAAGUGUGUUCAAUGGAGAGGGAAAUGGAAAAGUGAGGGAAUAUGAAUGCCCUUGGAAUUUUUUCUUUUAAUACAUUUUUGAAUGCUGCAUUAUUGUGAGGAUGUUAGAAAUAUGAUGGAGAAUGUGACAUGCCUCUGUAUAGAAUAUAGCUCUGUGUAUGUUACCACUACUGAAACUAUUGGACCUAAUUAGACAAUCAGCUGUGUGGUAAUGCACUAUGAAAACAUAAACAGCAAGCAGUACAUAUUUUGCCUUUGUCUUAAAAAUCUUCACAUCGUUAGCAUUUUGUUGUUCUGUAUGUGCAGUAUUUAUGUUUGUUUUAACAUCAUUUUCAGACUGGCACUGAGCAGAAUAUAAAUAAACAGGAGAUGUGGAACUGUAUCCACACAAAUUAAUAUUGCAUUAUGCCAUCUGACAUUCAUGAGUGACCAAGGAACAUUUGUAUAAUAGCUGUGGUUAGUAAAAGAACUGAAGAUCGGAACACAUAUUUGCUAAAUUUUUAUUACAUACAGUUCUUGUUAAUUUGUAAACAUUUGAAAUGGGUAAAUUUAUGACAGUGAAUUUGAUAGCCUGAAGUAUAGGAACUCAUAUCAGAGGAAAUACUGGUUCUGUUUAGUCAUUGUACAUUUACAUUUGCGAUUAUAAUUCUGAGUACAAAGUGAAUAUUGGCAAUAACUUACAGUAUUAAUAUUUAUAAAAAUGUUACUUGUUGGCAUCUUUCUUAGAGGUAAUUCUGUUAAUUUAGAUCUAUGUAUAGUCUUAAAGCCCAUUGCAGGUUAAUGAUAUUUCAGAUUUCAGGUAGAGGACGUGUGGCAGACUUGGCAGGUGCAUAUUUUGUUGGCAUGAAAUGUUGGAAUUGUUUUAUGUAUUGAAGAUAUUUGAGAGGCUUUGGCAGAAGAAAGAAAAUUGUUUGAAUGGCAGUAUGAUGUAAACAUGGAAGUGCUGCAAAAUGAGGAGAGAAAUGGAAAACUUCACAGACUAAAAUUUACUUUAGAGAUAAAAAAAAUAAGAUAUUGCCUUUUUCUGACUAUAACAUAUGGUUGUGGAACACUGAUGUAGAGGAAAAAAGGCGUGUAUUUAUUUGGCCCAUCUAAGAUUGUUCUUAAAGUUAGUAAUGUACUCUUCAAAAUAAAUUUGUGGCAUUAGGUGAACUUUGAAGAAGGAAUUCAGAAAAACAUUCCAGUAUUAUAGAACGUCCUUCAAAAUUAACUUAGAGUCUUUCUCUUGUACAAAUUUAUAAAUCAUUGGAUAGCGAAAUGUGUCAGUUGUAAUUGUUUUAGCCCUUCAUAUUGUAAGAAAUUUGUUCAAGUUCUACUGGCUAUUCAUGUUACCAGUAUAGUAAUCAGUUGCCAAAUCAUGAUCAGUGAAGCUGACCUUUAUUCUGUAUUUCAUAGGUAGAUCAUCAGUCAAAUACAAGAAUCAGAGAAGAAUUAAAUGUCCAAAACUUAUGUGAAAUUUAAAAGUUCUGUAAGAAUUUACUACAGUUCGUAUGGAGAAAUAGACAAACAGAAUAUCGUAGCAGGUGCUGGAAUACACAUCAUUAUGAUAAUGAGGUCCAAUCACCUGAUUGAGAGUGAAACUGCAUCUGAAGGGCUUAAGAACAGGCAGUGAAUUGACUUUGUAUUUCAGAAUUUAUUUUGAAUAUUGCCAUGUUUCUGAGUAUGUUUCCAGAAGUAGUGCAAUGGAAAUGAAAAAUAUAUCAUAUCUCAGAACUGCUGACCAUGAUUCCAGUUAUCAAAAUACAUUCAUGUGAUGUAAUUGAGGAACCAUUGACAACAUACUGUAACUACUGGCCUUAGAAAACCACAGUUGUGUACUUUUGCAGGCAUGUGAUUUAUUUACCAGUAGACUUAAUUUCUUUACCUGGCAUCUUCAUUCAUUGGGUAUAUUUAAAAACUGAUGUCUAAUCAGUACCCACACAGAAGAACUCUGAGGGAGAAGUCAUUCGUCUCCAAGUGUCUAUGUCCAGAUAACAAAUACAGCACCUGAAUCAGAACCUGUUUAAGGGUGGGGAAUGUAUUAAAGUCAAUGGGGAACAUUUUAGUAUCUCCCGUAACAUAGGUAAGUAAAUGUAAAACUCCCAUGACUUUGCUGAAGUCUCUCUGUUGCUCAUCUUACGAGGAAAGACGGCAAUUGAUGCAGUGUUCAUACAUAACAGAAAAACUGUGGCUUGGCAUAGUAGGCAAGUAUUCUAAUUAGUUUCACCAAUGAAGGUACUCUGUUGUGUACAAGACAAUUCCUAAUGUAGUUGGCUCCAAACAGCUAUGAAAAUAUGAGACUCAUUCUCACAGCAGGCAGAAGGAAAUAAUAUCCUCACUUCUGGAUGUAAAUUUUGUCAAAAAAUCAGAAUGACUAACUGCUCCUACACUCAUUCUGAGAAAGUAAAAGAUUGACCUGUUUUCACUUUUAAUUCUGAAGACAAGCAUGUGUGAACCAUUCACUAGAAAACUUCUUGGUUGGAUUGUCAUAAAUUUCAAUGAUAUCAAUCUUAUUUGCAUUUGCAUUGUAUAUUUAAGAGUUUCAGAGUGAAAAUGUUCCUGAAUUUAAUAACUAAUUUAGAAGUUAAUGAGCAAAUUAUUGUGAUAUCAUUAAAAGACUACUUAAUUAGCUAUGUUAUGUUAAAAAGUUGCAGAAACAUAUUGCCAGAAAUAAGUUAUGGUAGCUAUGAAAUCUUACCAUAUACCUUUCAAUUAAAGCAAACAUUUGUCUUAUGGUAUUGCUGAUGAAGUGAGAAGUUACUUUAGCCCCUGAAGACCUGGCAGGUUCUGCUCAUUUGAGUCACUGCACCAUCAUUUCUUUACAAAAUGUGUAUUUACUUUUUAUUCGGAUGGUACUGAAUACAUAUGAUUCUCCUUGGUUGAGACACACAUGAUUGGGCCUUUGGGCAGUGGCAUGAAAACUGAAGCUAUCAGACUGAGUAUACUAACAAUGUGCAUACAGAAUAAAAUGAACUAAUUUCCUGUAAAUUAACACUGAAAUAUCAAUUGGGAGAAUACUGUAGAAUGCAAUAUGCAAUGUUUUUUAAAAGUCAAAGAUAAAAGAAAUUCCAGGUUGAUUUCUUUUCCAUAAUAGGAAUUCUUAUUUUCCUUAGAAAUACAGGAAACUACGCGUGUGAUCAUGGUUAAGAAGAGGGACUCCCAGUCAGUUCCUCAUGUACCAGCUUUCUCCGGUAGCAUAAUGAAAGUGUGUGUCUACUUAACUCCAUCAGCAUAUAUGAAGGUUCUAGAGCUUUCAUAGAAUACAUGGAAAAGGAAAACAGUUAAGUGGCAUUAUCUGAUGAAGGGUUGGAAGAUAUAAAAUUAAUAAAAAUUUCUUAGGUGAAGGAGUACUAAUUACAUUUUAAUGGCACCAAGUUCACUUGUCACAGGUAAUCAUAGUUCUAUUAAAAGAAUGGUGUGAACUGUGAAGAUGAAUGAAAGGUAAUUGUUAAUUUCUCCCUCAUUCUUAAACCUGUGAAUCAUGAAUAAAGUAAUUUGGCUUUCUGUAGACUUUCCAUAGAGAGAAUUUUGAAUGGCUACUGUAAAUGACAGUAUGAAUAUUUUAUUGACUUAUUGUUGCAAAUGACAAACUUCUUAUAUAAAUUAGUAAGGAAAAGUUUUGUAGAACAUUUACCCACAAUUUAGUAUGUGUAAAUUAAUUCUUUAAUAGCAUAUCUUAAAAAGCAGUGAACACACUUUUUAAAAUGGUGGUAUAUAUAUUUAUGUAAAGAAACUUUUUGUAAAAUAUUUGUAAACUGAUAAUAUACAGUAUUUAAAUCUUGCACAUGAGAAACUGUUUCCCUGCACUGCAGGUGAAGUCUGAUACAUAAAGUAAUAAUAAAACUCUUACAAAUAAUGUUGAACACUGAAUCAAAAGUGCUCAAAAGAAAAUUUAAUAGCAAUAUGAGGUGGUCACAAUACAAAUACAUUUUACAACAAGAAAAAAUAAUGUUUUCAUGGAUUUAUAAUCGCUACAUUUUCUCCAUUCUUUUACUUGUGAAUGAACUACAGAAAGUGUAAGUUAUGGUGCUAAAUAUGAAAAAUUAGUUAUUAGUAGCAUGAAACAUGAAGGUGACAAAGACAUUUGAAGGUUAAGAAACCUGUAGUUUUGGGCAUAUAGCCUGCAGGAUAUACAAAACUUGCAAAUUCAUUUAAAUUCCUUUCUUACACCUUGAGUACGAAUUGCACAAGUGAGAGUCCAUAUUUUAUGUUUUCGUAGUGCAUGGAGUUAAAAUUUUCCAUUCCUAUGAUUUUGAGUUCAGAUCAUGGUGUCUUAUUAUUCUUCACCAAUUGCAUUAGCUUCUCCUAUUAUUUAUUGUGAGAGUUAUACAUUUCUAACAUUCUCAAACAUGUUUGCAUUGCCCAUAUAAUAAAUUGCAAAGUAUGUUUUAUGAUCACAUUGUACAAGGUAACACCUGUGCACUGUUCAUGUAUUAUAUAUGUUUUUGUUCUCAACAUUUUCUCUUGUAUUUGUAAUUUAUUAAUAAUAGGGUGCAAGGCUUGUUCUGUAAUAUAUUUCUGCAAGGUUGUAACACCAGAUCAUCAUUCAUACAUAAGUGUUACACCAUUCUAUCUGGUAAAAUUGCAUAAUUCCAUAUGCAAGAGGCUUUAUAUUGUUCCUAAAACUGAUUGUGACAAAUUCUGAUUUAUUAAUAUGAUAAUUAUCAUAUAGAAGGUUAAUGUGAAAUGUAUGUGUUAAUCAAACAUUUCAAAUCACAAUGAAUGAUGUUAGGAAUUGAUCACUCUGCAGAUAUUUACUUCUGUCCUAUUGACAAAUGACUUUGGUAUGAGAGGAAAAUAAGACUGAAGUAAUAUGGGUAAUUAUGUUUAUAUGGAUGGUUUAAAAAACUUAUUUGUCCUAAAUUACACACUAAAUAUCUUCAGUAUAUUUGUUUAAAUUUCCAGGAUGUGUUACCAAGGCCUUCAUAAUUCCUUAAUUAAGUCAAAGAAAGAGUAUUUGGAAUUUUUUACAUACUUUCAUUCACAAAUUAUGCAUUUUCAAAACUCCUUCAUCCACAGAACUAUGAUUGACUCUCUGCAUUGGUACCUUAAUUAGAAGGUAACAUUAGUCCAUAUGUAUAUUGAUGUUGCUUAAUUACUUAUGCCUACAGACAUUGUUAUUGCUUCUGUAUCUACACAACAGCCAGUUUAAAGCAUGAAUGUAAAUCCUUUCUUUUUAUGCAUAGAAUUCUGUUUCUGAUCUGUUUGUAAAUUAAAUAUAAAGACUAAUUUUUCUUAAGCCCAUUUCCUGCAUAAUAUAACACACCUAUAUUUUUUAAGGCAAUGCAAUGUUUGUGGAGCAGUCAAAAGUAAAAUUUAUAUAGAACCAGUAGAAAUAAUUUCUGUAUAAAAAUAAUUAUUCUUUUAUUAUUUCUCCUCAGGGUCUAUCUAUUUGUCUUGCUGCAGCUUUUCACAAUAAGACAAAAUGAAUGGAAACCAUUCUCAAAAAAUUUUGCAGCACUGUAAAUUAAUAGAACUGAAAAAAUGAUUUUAUAAUAUAUGAUGUUCACAAUAUAA